rnacentral:rRNA from 1 species
UGCGUAGUAUCUUAUGUUAUUUUUUGUUUUGGUGAUUUUUUAGUAGAUUACUGUUUAUGUUGUUGUAUUAUUUAUUGAUCUGAUUUUUUUUGUUAUAGAUUAUUUGUACCGUGUGGGGUUGAUCAUUGGGAAUUUGACUGUUGUUUUUAUAAGUUGGUUUUGUUUGCCGUACCUUGUGUCUCAGGGUUUACUUAUUUUUAUUAUUUAUUUUUUAUUUCCCGAUUUCGGAGGAGUUAUUUAUUUAUUUCAGUUACCGUUUUAUUGGUAUUUGUAAUAUUUAUUUGGUGAUGAUAUGUCAUUCGUCUUUGGUGAUAUCUGGUUUCCUGAGAAAUAAAUUUAAUUUACACUUUUUGUGUAAUCUUUAUUUUUGAUUAAUUGAGGUUUUACUUGUGGUGAAGGAAUAGGGGGAUAAGCUCCUAUUUUUGUUUAUAACGUUUUGUUUGGGGAUGAGUUUUGUGGGUUUUAUGUUGACUUUCUAUUUGAGUAUGUUGAAAUUUUAUUUACCGUUGUUGGAAUUUUUGGUUUGUUUAAGAUUUUUAUUGGGACGCUUGGUUUAAUUUUUUAUCUAUCGUGUUUCUGGUUGAAUUAGUAUAUUUUGUUUUGUGCAGUUGUAUGUUUUGACAAUUUUUUCAGAGGAACUAGGCAAGAAUUUAUUGAAGGGUGCCCGCCUGUUUAACAAAAACAUCUCUUCUCGUUGUUUUAUUUGAAGUAUGGCCUGCCCACUGACAUUUUUGAAGGGCCGCGGUAUUUUGACCGUGCAAAGGUAGCGUAAUCAUUAGUCCUUUAAUUGUGGACUUGUAUGAAUGGUUUGACGAGGUGCUGACUGUCUUUGUGUUUAGAAUUAUUAUUGAAUUUGGUGCUUGGGUAAAAAUACCUAGAUUUUGUUAUGGGACGAUAAGACCCUAUAGAGUUUUAUACACUUUUCCUGUUUGGGUUUGUUAAGGUUUGUUGGGCUUGUGUUAUUUUGUUGGGGUGAUGAGAGGAUAUAAAUAACUCUUCUUUUGAUUUGGUAUUUCAUUUAUUUAUGUUCUUGUGAUCCUUUAUUAUUGAUUGUAAGAUUAAAUUACCUUAGGGAUAACAGCGUAAUCUUUUUUGAGAGUUCUUAUUGACAAGAAGGGUUGCGACCUCGAUGUUGGAUUAAGAUGAAUUUUUGGUGUAGAGGCUUUAAUAUAGUUUUAAUUAGGUCUGUUCGACCUUUAAAAUCUUACAUGAUCUGAGUUCAAACCGGCGUGAGCCAGGUUGGUUUCUAUCUAUAACUUUUUAAAAUUUCUUAGUACGAGAGGACCAGAUAUUUGGAAUAAUUUUAUUAGUUUGAUUUCCAGUAAUUU